CGCAAUGACGGCCAGGCUAAUAAUGGCAGGUCGAGCGGACGGAUGGGAGCUUGCUCCCUGAAGUCAGCGGCGGACGGGUGAGUAACACGUGGGCAACCUGCCUGUAAGACUGGGAUAACUUCGGGAAACCGGAGCUAAUACCGGAUAAUGCACAGCCUCUCAUGAGGCUAUGCUGAAAGAUGGUUUCGGCUAUCACUUACAGAUGGGCCCGCGGCGCAUUAGCUAGUUGGUGAGGUAACGGCUCACCAAGGCAACGAUGCGUAGCCGACCUGAGAGGGUGAUCGGCCACACUGGGACUGAGACACGGCCCAGACUCCUACGGGAGGCAGCAGUAGGGAAUCUUCCGCAAUGGACGAAAGUCUGACGGAGCAACGCCGCGUGAGUGAUGAAGGUUUUCGGAUCGUAAAACUCUGUUGUCAGGGAAGAACAAGUGCCGGAGUAGGUGCCGGCACCUUGAGAGGGCCUGACCAAAAGCCCACGGCUAACUACGUGCCGCCAGCCGCGGUAAUACGUAUGU
rnacentral:rRNA from 1 species